CAGCCGCCGCGGGAAUACAGAGGGUGCAAGCGUUAAUCUGAAUUACUGGGCGUAAAGCGCGCGUAGGUGGUUUGUUAAGUUGGAUGUGAAAUCCCCGGGCUCAACCUGGGAACUGCAUCCAAAACUGGCAAGCUAGAGUAUGGUAGAGGGUGGUGGAAUUUCCUGUGUAGCGGUGAAAUGCGUAGAUAUAGGAAGGAACACCAGUGGCGAAGGCGACCACCUGGACUGAUACUGACACUGAGGUGCGAAAGCGUGGGGAGCAAACAGGAUUAGAUACCCCUGUAGUCCCUGUCUCUUAUAC
rnacentral:rRNA from 1 species